AUAAAAGCUUUGUUCCCAUUUAUUUUUCCCCAUUUCCCUUCAAAAUUGCCGAAAAGAGAGAAAGGGUGAGAAAGUGUGUGAUUCUUCAUCUUCCUCCACCAUUAAAACCUUGCUUCCAUAGCCAAAUUUCUUCACAACUCUCAAGAUUAUUCGGAUUUAAGGUGAAUUUGGGGAAAAGAUCCAAGAGUUGUUCCUACGGUGUUAGUAAACCUUCUUGAGUGAUGCGUGGCGCAUUCAACGGGGGUGUCAAACCCGUCGACGGGUUCAAUAGCCCAUCAGCGGGAUGUAUUACGUGCUAGCGUGGUGCAUUUUUAGUGUUAUGUGGUGCAUUUUGAGUGAUACGUAGUGUAUUAAGCUGUUGGCCGCCGUUAGAUGACAAUAAUCGAACGACAGAUAUUAGACUACACGACCGCACGCCAGACAUUGACC